UUUAUUUUAAAUUGUCCAGAUAUCUUUUCAAAAUUGUCAGAAAUUCUUGAUCCUCAUCCACAUCACUAAUAAAAUUACAAAAUUUAUCAGCAAUAUAUCUGUACCAUUUUAUGAUGCGUGAAUGGAAGGGGGUGACUUUGGGGCUGUUUACACUUGGUAUUAAGAUGUGUUUUCAUCGAUCGGAUCACAAGUGGACGAGAGAGACACAUUACGUUUACACCUGGUAUUUAAAUCCGUCUCUUUUGUCCACUUUCGACCGCUUCUGUGCUGAAUACUAUGAGGGGGUGGUCUGUGAGACUGUGGGUGAGUCUCUCUGCUGUCAUUCAAACCCGAGCGGGAGUAAUUAUGAGUUUAUAUGGACGCAAACUAAUAUUAUGUCGGAGUGCACUGCUUGUUUAGCAAGUAAACAUGCUGCACAGUGUUUUGUACAUGAGUAUUUAAGAGCUUUCUUUGAAUUUUCAGCGCAAUUGAUGAAAUAGGAUCGCGCAACUUUCACACGCUUUCAAAACGAAACUACGGAGAUCAGCCGCUUAGUUUUAUCAAUGAAAGGCUAAAAAUAGCGCUGUUCACCGAAUGUUCACGCCAGAAGUCAAAAAAGACGUAAAACUUGUGUUUAAUACCUCAGAUUAGAUAAAUGGGCGGAGAGAAGGCGGUCGCGUGUGGCUGUUCGAACGCAUUCAACCACAUAUGCGUUCCGCAACUCCAAAGCGAUCCGAUCGAAAGUGGUUUCGACCACCUCUGGAUGUGGUUGAAAGUGGUCGAAAGUGGACGAGCUCAAAACGUUUUGAACACCGUUUACACCUGGCAUUAACGUCGUCCACUUGUGAUCCGAUCGACGAAAACACAUGUUAAUGCCAAGUGUAAACAGCCUCUUAAUCAAUAAAAAGCACAAAUAAGCUGCAUAAUUUGGAGCAAAAUACUGUAAUUAUAUUUUAUAUUUUAGACCCUGCGUCCACUGGAAUGGACAUCACAUGUUUUGUGGUUCAAACUAAUAAAAAUGCUGAUCAACCAAUCUGUAUCGGCCUUCCAAAGGUUUUUAAGUUUUAAGUUAAGGCCGUGCACAGCAAAACCACCAGUGUUGAUUUUACAGAGUUCCCUACUCUGGAGUGGUCAGGUGUUAGUUGUAGUGUUCGUUAUUAAUUUAUCAUCACUCACAGUGUCAGAAACUUCCACAAGGGGGUGUUGCUUUCCAGUGUUCCAAGAAUUACGUUUGCGGGGAGUUAAGAUUCACGCCACGCCCCUUCUUUCUGAAGCGGGAAAGUCAGUUACUCAGCAUCGACCGACCUGGACUCACGUUACUGAGGGUGGCGGUUUCAGAUUAGGGUGUGCAUCAAGCACUGUGGGCAGAGAAACAUGAUGCAAUGCAGGUGUUUGUGGUUUGGAACAUGCUGCUGAAGUUGGAUAUCAGGGCUCCAGGAAAUGUAUCAAACUGCAGGAUUUAUUUAUUUUUGCUCAUUAGUGAAGGUGGUAAGCCAAACUGACUGUGGACUAACGUAUGCAUUGUUAAUGACACUGAAAUCGAGGAAGACAUUUUUCAAGAUAUGCUGCUUACAGCUAGAGGACAAAAUGAAGAUGCAACAAGCAGCUUCUGCCACUGUCAUUUACCAUCUGAACUUGGCCAAAGUUGUUCCAAGAAAUCUAAGACAACAGAUGACUCCAUGACUGAGGAAGACUCCUACAAGGAACCAGUGAGAGCAUCAUAGACUGGGAUAGUGACAUGGCAACACUGCUUUUACUGCUCCAUCUCCUUCCAACAUCACCUCAAGGGAAUCAGUGCAUCAGAUUUGCAGUGAGCAGGCUUGUGGUGCAUCAUAAGUCUUGUACCAGCUUUGAAGAACAUCUUCAGCAACGAGUAGGAUGACAACCGUACCUUACUGCGGUUGGCAGGAUCUGCGGCCAGAUUUGAGAACUUUGACGUAGCUUUUGAUAAGAAUCUCACCCCGUCAGUCGGAAGGCUCCCUUUUAGCAUUUGACUUUGUUUUUAAUGUAAUGUAUGAUGAUGGACUCCUUCACUUUAACUAAUUUAAUCAAACAACAGUUUACAUGUUGGGAAAACUAGAGAUCGAGAGCUGAGAGCAAACUUUUUUUUAACUAGCUGGUAACUAGUAUCUCAUUUAAGGUUUCAGCAUGCAUUUUAUCCUUGCCCAAAUUUCUAAUUAAUAUGUGCUGAAGAAAAUUGUGAUUACUUUUGUGAUGUAUUGUUUUACAGAAUGUUUAGUGAAAAAUUUGCUGUGAUUUGCCCUAGAUGUGUGUCAGACAUGGAUUUUAAAACGCUUAUCCAGUUUUAUUUAAACUCCUUGGCAAAAUUGAAAUGACUGUAUAAAUAACCACUUUCUGAAAAUGUUGAAAAAGUUCACAAGUGAUACUUUAUUUUU